AGUGAACGCUGGCGGUAGGCCUAACACAUGCAAGUCGAACGGCAGCACAGUAAGAGCUUGCUCUUACGGGUGGCGAGUGGCGGACGGGUGAGGAAUACAUCGGAAUCUACUUUUUCGUGGGGGAUAACGUAGGGAAACUUACGCUAAUACCGCAUACGACCUACGGGAGAAAGCAGUGGAUCUUCGCACCUUGCGCGACUGAAUGAGCCGAUGUCGGAUUAGCUAGUUGGCGUGGUAAAGGCCCACCAAGGCGACGAUACGUAGCUGGUCUGAGAGGAUGAUCAGCCACACUGGAACUGAGACACGGUCCAGACUCCUACGGGAGGCAGCAGUGGGGAAUCUUGGACAAUGGGCGAAAGCCUGAUCCAGCCAUACCGCGUGGGUGAAGAAGGCCUUCGGGUUGUAAAGCCCUUUUGUUGGGAAAGAAAAGCAGCAGGUUAAUACCCCGCUGUUCUGACGGUACCCAAAGAAUAAGCACCGGCUAACUUCGUG
rnacentral:rRNA from 1 species